CUGAUUUUAGUAGGAGAAAAUUGAUAAUCUCUCUAAAACUCAUCCUCUAAUUAAUGAGUAGCACAUAUAGUUGAAAUGUAAAUUUUGAUCCAAAUGUUAGGAUCCCUAAUAUUAUUAUUUUUUUAACGUAGUAUACAAUGGAAACAGAUAUGAUAUAAAAUUGACGAAACUGAUCGUUACAUUAUUGAUUGGUGUGAUUUCGUUGCUAGUUUGACAUCCACACGGCUCCUAGAAUUGCAAUUUCAUUUGCAUUUUUCAUGAGCUAUAUGCUAUAAUUUAGUUUUCUCAACCUCUCAAUUUCGCGUUCUUUUUUUUUUUAAAUAAUAAAACUUAAAUUUCGCUAUUAAAAUGUAUGUCAUGUGAUAUUUUUAUCCAAACAUUGACAGUAUGUCACAUUAAUAAUUUGUGUAAAGAUUUCGUAACUCUAAAAUUAUGUCACGUUAAUAAUGAUCUUGACAAUUAUUAUUACGAAAUAAUAGAAAGAACGGAUAAUUUUUUGUGUUUAACAUACGACUAUCCACUAAAAACGUUUAUGUGUUGGUUAGUAUUUAAAGCAUGCACUAGACAAAUAAUAAAAUUUGAAGCAUGCACUAGACAAAUAAUACAUACUCUAUUAUAUGACCAAUAAAUAACUAGCUAGUUUUGUUUUGUUGCGAAUACUUUCACAUUGAAGAGCCAAACUUGAAACUUUAGGACUAAAUAGUUUAGUCAAUUCAUCCCUAGUGUCUUGCUAGAGACCAAGAAAAUUUCAAAGAAAGUUGGCCAUGUUACGUAAUUAAUAAGCAACAUCCAAUCAAGGAGUCAACCUACCAUGCAGCGCUGUAUCUCAUACAGCACAUGCAUGCAACCGGUACAACCGGUUUUUAACCGGAUAAUAUAAUGAAAAUUAUAUUUUUAUUUGUUUUUAAUGUGAAAAAAUUAUGAAAAAAUUUGGAAAAAAAAGAGUAAAAUUUUAAUUAAAUAAGGAAAAAGAUUGUAAUAAUUUAAAAUUUAAAAAUAGUACAAAAAAUAUAAACAUAUCACAAAAUGGUUACAUUCCUACUUAUUUUGUCACAUUCCAAUAUUUAUAAUGCAUAUUUCAAGUUUACUUUUCAAAUUCCUAUUUCUAGUAAUGAUUUAUCUAAAUUUUUGUAAGUUGUUUCAACUCAUUUUCCCACUAGCUUUUGGUUCUAUAUUUCCACUCUUUUCAUCAACUUCCAUAUUUUUUGAUAGAUAUUUCAAGUUUAUUUUUAUAUCUCUACAAUUUGUUAAACUUUAUCUAGUUUUUGGUAAAUUAUUUCGAUUUAUUUUUCCACCACUUUUUUGUUCUAUAUUCCUACUCGUUUUAUUAAAUUCCAACAUUUUGUUUAGAAAUUUCAAGUUCAAUUUUUAGAUCUCUAUUUUCUGUUAAAAUUUAUCAAAUUCUUGUUAAGUUAUUUCAACUUUUGGGUUAACUUCUUCUACUCUUGUUUCCACUACUUUUUGGUUCUUUAUUCCAAUUCUUUUAAUUGAUUUCUAAUAUUUUGGUUAAAUAUUUCAAGUUCAUUUUAUAGAUCUCAACUUAUUGUUAAACUUUAUCAUAUUCUUGUUAAGUUCUUCGAACUUUUAGGUUAUGCUCCCCAACUCUUGUUUCCACCAUUUUUUUUGUUUUAUAUUUCUACUCUUUUCAUUGAAUUUAAGUAUUUUUCGUGAAUGUUUCAAGUUUAUUUUUUGAUCCCUAAUUAUUGUUGGAUUUAUCAUAUUCUUGGUAACUCUUUCCGAAUUUUAGGUUAACCUCUUCAACUCUUUUUUCCACCACUUUUUGGUUUUAUAUCCUACUCUUUUUAUUGAAUUCCAACAUUUUAUUUGGAAAUUUCAAGUUAAAUUUCUAAAUUCCCACUUUCAAUUAAAAUUUAUCAAAUUCUUAGUAAGUUGUUUCAAUUUAUUUUUCCACCGGUUAUUCGUUCUAUAUUUCCACUCUUCUUAUUGAAUUCCAAAUUUUUAGGUUGAUUUUUCAAGUUUAUUUUUUAUAUCUCUAUAUCCUGUUAGACUUUAUCUAGUUAUCGUUAAGUUGUUCCAACUUAUUUUUCCAGCACUUUGUGGUUCAAUAUUUCUGCUCUUUUUAUUGAAUUUCAAAUUUUGGGUAAAUAUGUCAAAUUUACUUUUUAGAUCCCUACUUUGCGUUAGAAUUUAUCAAAUCUUUGUUAAGUUAUUUCAACUUUUGGGUAACUUCUUCCACUCUUGUUCCCACUACUUUUUGUAUUUGUAUUCCAAUUCUUUUAAUUAAUUUCUAAUAUUUUGGUUAAAUAUUUCAAGUUCAUUUUAUAGAUCUCAACUUAUUGUUAAACUUUAUCAUAUUCUUCUUAAGUUCUUCGAACUUUUAGGUUAUGCUCCUCAACUCUUGUUUUCACCAUUUUUUUUGUUCUAUAUUUCUACUCUUUUCAUUUAAUUUAAGUAUUUUUCGUGAAUGUUUCAAGUUUAUUUUUUGAUCCCUAAUUAUUGUUGGAUUUAUCAUAUUCUUGGUAACUCUUUCCAAAUUUUAGGUUAACCUCUUCAACUCUUUUUUCCACCACUUUUN
rnacentral:lncRNA from 1 species